UCAGCUACCUAGAAAAGGCUGCAAGGCUGGAGUGAGAGGCUGAGAUUCAAACCUUUGCUGCACCUCUUCUGUUCUAUUACACCGUUUCCCUUCCUCCAGUAAGGAGGUUACUUUUUUCUCUCUGAAAAGAGGUUCAGCAGAGGCAAAAAGAGCUCUACAUGCAAGAGCCAAAUCUCUUGCAUGGUGUAAUGACAAUUCACAGCCUCCUGUUACAUCGAUAGGCAGAGCAAGGACAGUCCAAGCAGGAUUCCUGACAGCUUGCUCUGGAGCCAUCAUCCUUCAGAUUUCCUUGGAGAAGGUUAACCAUCCUGGCAGAUGCACCUGCAGUCAGAAUAGCAAACAUCUGCUGUGCAGAAAUUAAUGGAUGUCAGAGCAGCAUUUAGAGACAGCACAAAACAGUCAGAGAAAAGCUGAAAGUGAAGUUGUGUCCUCAGAGCAGCAUUUAAACACUUGCACUGAACUACAAGCUGAAGAGGAGAAAACAAAGAAUGAAAUUGUUUCACAUGACAUGAACAUCUACCCUGUGGUGUGAGCAAACCCCAGUGCUGAGGGGGAAGGAGGAAGGAAGAGUGAAUAAUGGACAAUAUGCCCUGGAGAUCUCCUGAAGAGCACUCAGCUCACAGGAAGAGCAGGAAGCAAAAUAAAGCACCCUCAGCUCUGACACCCUCUGAUUUCAGAGAGCU